AUACGGAGGGUCCGAGCGUUAAUCGGAAUUACCGGGCGUAAAGCGCGCGUAGGUGGUUCAGUCAGUCAGAUGUGAAAGCCCCGGGCUCAACCUGGGAACUGCACCUGAUACUGCUGAACUAGAGUACGGUAGAGGGCAGUGGAAUUUCCGGUGUAGCGGUGAAAUGCGUAGAGAUCGGAAGGAACACCAGUGGCGAAGGCGACUGCCUGGACUGAUACUGACACUGAGGUGCGAAAGCGUGGGUAGCAAACAGGAUUAGAUUCCCUGGUAGUCCACGCCGUAAACGAUGUCAACUAGCCGUUGGGGGACUUGAUCCUUUAGUGGCGAAGCUAACGCGAUAAGUUGACCGCCUGGGGAGUACGGCCGCAAGGUUAAAACUCAAAUGAAUUGGCGGGG
rnacentral:rRNA from 1 species